rnacentral:rRNA from 1 species
UACGAAGGGGGCUAGCGUUGCUCGGAAUCACUGGGCGUAAAGCGCACGUAGGCGGCUUUCUAAGUCAGGGGUGAAAUCCUGGAGCUCAACUCCAGAACUGCCUUUGAUACUGGAGAGCUUGAGUCCGGAAGAGGUGAGUGGAACUCCGAGUGUAGAGGUGAAAUUCGUAGAUAUUCGGAAGAACACCAGUGGCGAAGGCGGCUCACUGGUCCGGUACUGACGCUGAUGUGCGAAAGCAUGGGGAGCAAACAGGG